GACGAACGCUGGCGGCGUGCUUAACACAUGCAAGUCGAACGCUGAAGCCCUUUCGGGGGUGGAUGAGUGGCGAACGGGUGCGUAACACGUGGGUAAUCUGCCCUGCACUCUGGGAUAAGCCUUGGAAACGGGGUCUAAUACCGGAUAGGACACAUCGCCGCAUGGUGUGCGUGUGGAAAGUUCCGGCGGUGCAGGUUGAGCACGCGGCCUAUCAGCUUGUUGGUGGGGUGAUGGCCUACCAAGGCGACGACGGGUAGCCGGCCUGAGGGGGUGACCGGCCACACUGGGACUGAGACACGGCCCAGACUCCUACGGGAGGCAGCAGUGGGGAAUCUUGCGCAAUGGGCGAAAGCCUGACGCAGCAACGCCGCGUGGGGGAUGACGGCCUUCGGGUUGUAAACCUCUUUCGACCGGGACGAAGGGUAACUGACGGUACCGGUAGAAGAAGCACCGGCUAACUACGUGCCAGCCGCCGCCGUAA
rnacentral:rRNA from 1 species